UACGUAGGUGGCAAGCGUUGUCCGGAUUUACUGGGCGUAAAGAGCGCGCAGGCGGUCGUUCAAGUCGCGUGUGAAAGCCCCCGGCUCAACUGGGGAGGGUCACGCGAUACUGAUCGACUCGAAGGCAGGAGAGGGAAGUGGAAUUCCCGGGUGUAGUGGUGAAAUGCGUAGAUAUCGGGAGGAACACCAGUGGCGAAGGCGACUUCCUGGCCUGUUCUUGACGCUGAGGCGCGAAAGCUAGGGGAGCAAACGGGGAUUAAGAA
rnacentral:rRNA from 1 species